rnacentral:rRNA from 1 species
AUUGCAGGCUGCAACUCGCCUGCAUGAAGUUGGAAUUGCUAGUAAUCGCGAAUCAGAAUGUCGCGGUGAAUACGUUCCCGGGCCUUGUACACACCGCCCGUCGCACCAUGAGAGUCGAUAACACCUGAAGCCUGUGAGCUAACCGUAAGGAGGCAGCAGUCGAAGGUGGGGUUGAUGAUUGGGGUGAAGUCGUAACAAGGUAGC